AUUGAACGCUGGCGGCAGGCCUAACACAUGCAAGUCGAGCGGAUGAGUGGAGCUUGCUCCAUGAUUCAGCGGCGGACGGGUGAGUAAUGCCUAGGAAUCUGCCUGGUAGUGGGGGACAACGUUUCGAAAGGAACGCUAAUACCGCAUACGUCCUACGGGAGAAAGUGGGGGAGUCUUCGGACCUCACGCUAUCAGAUGAGCCUAGGUCGGAUUAGCUAGUUGGUGAGGUAAAGGCUCACCAAGGCGACGAUCCGUAACUGGUCUGAGAGGAUGAUCAGUCACACUGGAACUGAGACACGGUCCAGACUCCUACGGGAGGCAGCAGUGGGGAAUAUUGGACAAUGGGCGAAAGCCUGAUCCAGCCAUGCCGCGUGUGUGAAGAAGGUCUUCGGAUUGUAAAGCACUUUAAGUUGGGAGGAAGGGCAGUAAGUUAAUACCUUGCUGUUUUGACGUUACCAACAGAAUAAGCACCGGCUAACUUCGUGCC
rnacentral:rRNA from 1 species